AACGAACGCUGGCGGCAGGCCUAACACAUGCAAGUCGAGCGAGGACUUCGGUCCUAGCGGCGGACGGGUGAGUAACGCGUGGGAACGUGCCCUUUGCUACGGAAUAGCCCCGGGAAACUGGGAGUAAUACCGUAUGUGCCCUUCGGGGGAAAGAUUUAUCGGCAAAGGAUCGGCCCGCGUUGGAUUAGGUAGUUGGUGGGGUAAUGGCCUACCAAGCCGACGAUCCAUAGCUGGUUUGAGAGGAUGAUCAGCCACACUGGGACUGAGACACGGCCCAGACUCCUGCGGGAGGCAGCAGUGGGGAAUCUUAGACAAUGGGGGAAACCCUGAUCUAGCCAUGCCGCGUGAGCGAUGAAGGCCUUAGGGUUGUAAAGCUCUUUCAGUGGGGAAGAUAAUGACGGUACCCACAGAAGAAGCCCCGGCUAACUCCGUGCCAGCAGCCGCGGUAAAAC
rnacentral:rRNA from 1 species